rnacentral:rRNA from 1 species
UAACGCGUGGGCAACCUGCCUUACACAGGGGGAUAACAGUUAGAAAUGACUGCUAAUACCGCAUAAGACCACAUUGCCGCAUGGCAGGGUGGUAAAAACUCCGGUGGUGUAAGAUGGGCCCGCGUCUGAUUAGGUAGUUGGCAGGGUAGAGGCCUACCAAGCCUACGAUCAGUAGCCGGCCUGAGAGGGUGGACGGCCACAUUGGGACUGAGACACGGCCCAAACUCCUACGGGAGGCAGCAGUGGGGAAUAUUGCACAAUGGGGGAAACCCUGAUGCAGCGACGCCGCGUGAGUGAGGAAGUAUUUCGGUAUGUAAAGCUCUAUCAGCAGGGAAGAAAAUGACGGUACCUGACUAAGAAGCCCCGGCUAACUACGUGCCAGCAGCCGCGGUAAUACGUAGGGGGCAAGCGUUAUCCGGAUUUACUGGGUGUAAAGGGAGCGUAGACGGAGGAGCAAGUCUGAUGUGAAAAUCCGGGGCCCAACCCCGGAACUGCAUUGGAAACUGUUUAUCUAGAGUGUCGGAGAGGCAAGUGGAAUUCCUAGUGUAGCGGUGAAAUGCGUAGAUAUUAGGAGGAACACCAGUGGCGAAGGCGGCUUGCUGGACGAUGACUGACGUUGAGGCUCGAAAGCGUGGGGAGCAAACAGGAUUAGAUACCCUGGUAGUCCACGCCGUAAACGAUGACUACUAGGUGU